GGGGAAUUUUCCGCAAUGGGCGAAAGCCUGACGGAGCAAUACCGCGUGAGGGAGGAAGGCUCUUGGGUUGUAAACCUCUUUUCUCAGGGAAGAAAAAAAUGACGGUACCUGAGGAAUAAGCAUCGGCUAACUCCGUGCCAGCAGCCGCGGUAAUACGGAGGAUGCAAGCGUUAUCCGGAAUGAUUGGGCGUAAAGGGUCCGCAGGUGGCCAUGUAAGUCUGCUGUUAAAGAAUCUAGCUCAACUAGAUAAAAGCAGUGGAAACUACACGGCUAGAGUGCGUUCGGGGUAGAGGGAAUUCCUGGUGUAGCGGUGAAAUGCGUAGAUAUCAGGAAGAACACCAGUGGCGAAGGCGCUCUACUAGGCCGCAACUGACACUGAGGGACGAAAGCUAGGGGAGCGAAUGGGAUUAGAUACCCCAG
rnacentral:rRNA from 2 species